AUUGAACGCUGGCGGCAUGCCUUACACAUGCAAGUCGAACGGUAACGGGCCUUCGGGUGCCGACGAGUGGCGAACGGGUGAGUAAUACAUCGGAACGUGCCCGAUCGUGGGGGAUAACGAGGCGAAAGCUUUGCUAAUACCGCAUACGAUCUACGGAUGAAAGCAGGGGACCGCAAGGCCUUGCGCGGACGGAGCGGCCGAUGGCAGAUUAGGUAGUUGGUGGGAUAAAAGCUUACCAAGCCGACGAUCUGUAGCUGGUCUGAGAGGAUGAUCAGCCACACUGGGACUGAGACACGGCCCAGACUCCUACGGGAGGCAGCAGUGGGGAAUUUUGGACAAAGGGCGCAAGCCUGAUCCGGCCAUGCCGCGUGCAGGAUGAAGGCCUUCGGGUUGUAAACUGCUUUUGUACGGAACGAAAAGCCUUCUUUUAAUACAGGAGGGUCAUGACGGUACCGUAAGAAUAAGCACCGGCUAACUACGUG
rnacentral:rRNA from 1 species